rnacentral:rRNA from 1 species
UACGUAGGUGGCAAGCGUUGUUCGGAAUUAUUGGGCGUAAAGGGCGCGUAGGCGGUUUGUUAAGUCGGCUGUGAAAGCCCGGGGCUCAACCCCGGAGGGUCAGCCGAUACUGGCAGACUAGAGUACGGAAGAGGUAGCUGGAAUUCCCGGUGUAGCAGUGAAAUGCGUAGAUAUCAGGAGGAAUACCGAUGGCGAAGGCAGGUCUCUGGGCUGACACUGACGCUCAUGCACGAAAGCGUGGGGAGCAAACAGG